AAGGAAUAUUGGUCAAUGGACGCAAGUCUGAACCAGCCAUGCCGCGUGAAGGAUGAAGGUCCUCUGGAUUGUAAACUUCUUUUAUCUGGGACGAAAACGGGAUUUUUAUCUCAAUUGACGGUACCAGAGGAAUAAGCACCGGCUAACUCCGUGCCAGCAGCCGCGGUAAUACGGAGGGUGCGAGCGUUAUCCGGAUUUACUGGGUUUAAAGGGUGCGUAGGUGGGCUUAUAAGUCAGUGGUGAAAUCUCCGAGCUUAACUUGGAAACUGCCGUUGUUACUAUAGGUCUUGAAUUAUCUGGAGGUAAGCGGAAUAUGUCAUGUAGCAGUGAAAUGCUUAGAUAUGACAUAGAACACCAAUUGCGAAGGCAGCUGACUACAUAUAAAUUGACGCUGAGGCACGAAAGCGUGGGGAUCAAACA
rnacentral:rRNA from 1 species